rnacentral:siRNA from 1 species
ACGUCUCCAAGAAUCCUAACCUAA